rnacentral:tRNA from 1 species
GUGGAAUUACUACGGCGAACAAUGGCUGGCUGCUAACCAGCCCGCUCCGGCUCCGGUUCAACCCAUAGUUUCACA